AACGAACGCUGGCGGCAUGCCUAACACAUGCAAGUCGAACGAGACCUUCGGGUCUAGUGGCGCACGGGUGCGUAACGCGUGGGAACCUGCCCUUAGGUUCGGUAUAACUCCCCGAAAGGUGUGCUAAUACCGGAUAAUGUCUUCGGACCAAAGAUUUAUCGCCUUUGGAUGGGCCCGCGUUGGAUUAGCUAGUUGGUAGGGUAAAAGCCUACCAAGGCGACGAUCCAUAGCUGGUCUGAGAGGAUGAUCAGCCACACUGGGACUGAGACACGGCCCAGACUCCUACGGGAGGCAGCAGUGGGGAAUAUUGGACAAUGGGCGAAAGCCUGAUCCAGCAAUGCCGCGUGAGUGAUGAAGGCCUUAGGGUUGUAAAGCUCUUUUACCCGGGAUGAUAAUGACAGUACCGGGAGAAUAAGCUCCGGCUAACUCCGUG
rnacentral:rRNA from 1 species